rnacentral:rRNA from 1 species
ACCCGCUGAACUUAAGCAUAUCAAUAAGCGGAGGAAAAGAAACCAACAGGGAUUGCCCCAGUAACGGCGAGUGAAGCGGCAACAGCUCAAAUUUGAAAUCUGGCCCCCCGGGUCCGAGUUGUAAUUUGUAGAGGAUGCUUUUGGCGAGGUGCCUUCCGAGUUCCCUGGAACGGGACGCCACAGAGGGUGAGAGCCCCGUCUGGUCGGACACCGAGCCUCUGUAAAGCUCCUUCGACGAGUCGAGUAGUUUGGGAAUGCUGCUCAAAAUGGGAGGUAUAUGUCUUCUAAAGCUAAAUAUUGGCCAGAGACCGAUAGCGCACAAGUAGAGUGAUCGAAAGAUGAAAAGCACUUUGAAAAGAGGGUUAAAAAGUACGUGAAAUUGUUGAAAGGGAAGCGCCUAUGACCAGACUUGGGCCCGGUGAAUCAUCCAGCGUUCUCGCUGGUGCACUUUGCCGGGCACAGGCCAGCAUCAGUUUGGCGCGGGGGAAAAAGGCUCUGGGAAUGUGGCUCCCCCGGGAGUGUUAUAGCCCACCGCGUAAUACCCUGCGCCGGACUGAGGUACGCGCAUCGCAAGGAUGCUGGCGUAAUGGUCAUCAGCGACCCGUCUUGAAACACGGACCAAGGAGUCGUCUUCGUAUGCGAGUGUUCGGGUGUCAAACCCCUACGCGGAAUGAAAGUGAACGCAGGUGAGAGCUUCGGCGCAUCAUCGACCGAUCCUGAUGUUCUCGGAUGGAUUUGAGUAAGAGCAUACGGGGCCGGACCCGAAAGAAGGUGAACUAUGCCUGUAUAGGGUGAAGCCAGAGGAAACUCUGGUGGAGGCUCGCAGCGGUUCUGACGUGCGAAUCGAUCGUCAAAUAUGGGCAUGGGGGCGAAAGACUAAUCGAACCUUCUAGUAGCUGGUUUCCGCCGAAGUUUCCCUCAGGA